rnacentral:lncRNA from 1 species
CAUGGGAAACCCACAUGGCCUCCCCAUUGUGGCGGGCCCUGACAGUCCCAGACUAGACAGGGGAGAGCGAGAGGAGCUGAGAGGAUAUGUGGACAUACUGUGUGCAGCUACUGACGGGUCCGGCACAAUGAAUGGUGAGGAUUGCUGCGCUUUAUCCCGGAUAGCUGAUUGCUGUGAUGUGGGCCAGUUGCUGGAAAGUCUCAGUGGACUCAAAUUCAGGAGUGGCUUUAUUUUUCCUGGACAUCGAUAUCGAGCAGCAAGACAAGGAGGAAACCUGAGAGGAGGCGAGCCGACCAAACGCACAAACCUGACGCUGCAGAGAGGAGACCUGCCACGCUCCGGUGACAACCAGGAAGUAAUGUGACAGCGUUCGUUGAUCGAGGCAUGACGGUGUAACAUAAUAAUAAUAAUAGUAAUAAUGAUCAUUCUUUUUCUUUCUCAAAUUUAAAUUCUCAGUAAAUAUAAAAAAUUAAAACAACAAAAACUUUCUAAUUAAUAAAUACGUAUCAAAAAGUAAACUGAAACUGGUU